rnacentral:rRNA from 1 species
GACGAACGCUGGCGGCGUGCUUAACACAUGCAAGUCGAACGGAAAGGCCUGCUUUCCCUUGUGGAUUGCGGGUACUCGAGUGGCGAACGGGUGAGUAACACGUGAGUGAUCUGCCCCCAACUUGGGUAUAAGCCUGGGAAACUGGGUCUAAUUCCCGAUAGGACUGCAGGGUGGUGCCUGUGGUGGAAAACGAUUUUCUAGUGGUUGGGGAUGAGCUCGCGGCCUAUCAGCUUGUUGGUGGGGUAAUGGCCUACCAAGGCGGCGACGGGUAGCCGGCCUGGGAGGGUGGACGGGCACAUUGGGACUGAGAUACGGCCCAGACUCCUACGGGAGGCAGCAGUGGGGAAUAUAGCACAAUGGGCGGAAGCAUGAUGCAGCGACGACGCGUGGGGGAUGACGGCCUUCGGGUUGUAAACUCCUUUCGACCGCGAGGAAGCCACCUGGUGGGAAGGGUGGUGACGGUAGUGGUAGAAGAAGCACCGGCUAACUACGU